rnacentral:rRNA from 1 species
GAUGAACGCUGACAGAAUGCUUAACACAUGCAAGUCAACUUGAACUUCGGUUUGGGUGGCGGACGGGUGAGUAACGCGUACAGAACUUGCCUCACAGCUAGGGACAACAUUUGGAAACGAAUGCUAAUACCUGAUAUUAUGAUUAUAUGGCAUCGUAUAAUUAUGAAAGCUAUAUGCGCUGUGAGAGAGCUUUGCGUCCCAUUAGCUAGUUGGAGAGGUAACAGCUCACCAAGGCGAUGAUGGGUAGCCGGCCUGAGAGGGUGAUCGGCCACAAGGGGACUGAGACACGGCCCUUACUCCUACGGGAGGCAGCAGUGGGGAAUAUUGGACAAUGGACCGAGAGUCUGAUCCAGCAAUUCUGUGUGCACGAUGAAGUUUUUCGGAAUGUAAAGUGCUUUCAGUUGGGAAGAAAAAAAUGGCGGUACCAACAGAAGAAGUGACGGCUAAAUACGUG